UGUAAACUAUUUGUUUAAUAAUUACUUAUUGGGGAUUUGUGCCUAAAAUGGCGAGAAGAAUGGGAACUCUGUAUUGUCUGAGACUUCUUUCUCUUACAUCACAAUUAAAAUGAGAGCAAGUAAAAAGAACGUUUGCCUUUUUUAAAAGGAUGCUAGAACUAAUACUACUGGAAUCUAAAUAUCUUCGAAUUUUAAACAAAAUUUAAAUAAGGUUGAUUGUGCUAGAGGUGGUUACCUGACCCAUCAGAAAGAUGGAGUUAGCUGAAUUCGGCAAGUUUACCUUAAGUGUGUAGAUUCCACAAGUGUGCGGCAUUGUUUCAUUGAGGGAUUCAUUAAAUCUAUUGAUAGCAGCCCUGCCAGCUAAGUAGCUUCCUGCUUGGACCUGUUCACAAGGAGCUCCUGUUUGUCAUUUGGUUGCAUCCUGUGACUAAGCUACGUAAUAAAAUGUUGAAACUCAA